CAUACCUAUUCGAAGGGAUAGGGUCGGCUCGGCCGGACUUUACACGAGUGUUGCAUGGCUGUCGUCAGCUCGUGUCGUGAGAUGUUGGGUUAAGUCCCGCAACGAGCGCAACCCUCAUCCUUAGUUACCAUCAGGUUAUGCCGGGGACUUUAAGGAAACUGCCAGUGAUAAACUGGAGGAAGGUGGGGAUGAUGUCAAGUCAUCAUGGCCCUUAUGGAGUGGGCUACACACGUGCUAUAAUGGUGAUUACAAUGGGCUGCAAGGUCGCAAGGCUGAGCUAAUCCUAAAAAAUCAUCUCAGUUCGGAUUGUUCUCUGCAACUCGAGAGCAUGAAGUUGGAAUCGCUAGUAAUCGUGGAUCAGCAUGCCACGGUGAAUACGUUCUCGGGUCUUGUACACACUGCCCGUCACGCCAUGGGAAUUGGUUUCACUCGAAGCU
rnacentral:rRNA from 1 species